UGUUAAAUGUUGGUUAUAUACUAUACUUUUAAUCUUUGUUGUAUUGCAAAACUGGCCUUAAAGUAUUUUUUACAAUUUGCUAUAUGCUAUAAAGCGAUAUGUUUUUUUGUAAUAGAAUUUAGGCUGUUAAUGACUUUGCCUUUCAGUGGAUCUUUUUUUCUUUGUUUGUUUUCUGUUUUGGUGAAAUUACUCAUCUCUGGUUGUUUUUCAGGCUUCAGACCUGUCAGCGCCUCUGACAGUGUUACAGUUCCAAAUGGAUAAAGAUGAGACCAGAUGUGUGGGAGAGAUGAAGUUGAAAAAAUUAUACUUAUCCUGCUGUCCUUCCAGCUUAAACUGUAUAUAACACACACACACACACACACACACACACACACACACACAGACAGAGAGAGGAGCAGAUAUUUCUGGGAUGGGAACAGAAAGUGUGAAUAAACAACUUUAGUUUUUAGGUGUAAUGUAGAACCGUGAGAUCUCUUCUGAUUCUACAUUAAUUACAUAUAUUUUUUUUU